ACCUUGAUAUAUAUAAACAACAGAGUACACAGUACGGUUUGGAGCUUAUAUAACUCAUACAAAACAGUGCGAACCUUCAGCAGCAAACAAGUACAAAAUAUGAAAAACUGCAGCGAACUAGAAUCACCGACAUCCCGAUUGCCAGCAUGGUCCAGCUAUGAUGAACCAUAAGCAUCAAUAUGUGGACUUCGGCAUGACAGAAUCUCCAGCAGAUAUGAAGUAUAAGAUAAUCGGUUAUAAUAAUAUAGAGUGUUGUGGCCAA
rnacentral:lncRNA from 1 species